rnacentral:rRNA from 1 species
AGAGUUUGAUCAUGGCUCAGAACGAACGCUGGCGCAUGCUUAACACAUGCAAGUCGAACGAGACCUUCGGGGUCAGUGGCGCACGGGUGCGUAACGCGUGGGAAUCUGCCCUUUGCUAACGGGAAUAACUCAGAGAAAUUUGUGCUAAUACCGUAUAAUGUCGUAAGACCAAAGAUUUAUCGGCAAAGGAUGAGCCCGCGUAAGAUUAGCUUGUUGGUGAGGUAAAGGGCUCACCAAGGCGACGAUCUUUAGCUGGUCUGAGAGGAUGAUCAGCCACACUGGGACUGAGACACGGCCCAGACUCCUACGGGAGGCAGCAGUGGGGAAUAUUGGACAAUGGGCGAAAGCCUGAUCCAGCAAUGCCGCGUGAGUGAUGAAGGCCUUAGGGUUGUAAAGCUCUUUUACCAGGGAUGAUAAUGACAGUACCUGGAGAAUAAGCUCCGGCUAACUCCGUG